AACACGUAUCCAACCUGCCUCAUACUUGGGGAUAGCCUUUCGAAAGAAAGAUUAAUAUCCGAUAGCAUAUAUUUCCCGCAUGGGUUUUAUAUUAAAGAAAUUCGGUAUGAGAUGGGGAUGCGUUCCAUUAGUUUGUUGGGGGGGUAACGGCCCACCAAGACUACGAUGGAUAGGGGUUCUGAGAGGAAGGUCCCCCACAUUGGAACUGAGACACGGUCCAAACUCCUACGGGAGGCAGCAGUGAGGAAUAUUGGUCAAUGGACGCGAGUCUGAACCAGCCAAGUAGCGUGAAGGAUGGCUGCCCUAUGGGUUGUAAACUUCUUUUAUAUGUGUUAUAAAGUUGUCCACGUGUGGAUUUUUGUAUGUACCAUAUGAAUAAGGAUCGGCUAACUCCGUGCCAGCAGCCGCGGUAAUACGGAGGAUCCGAGCGUUAUCCGGAUUUAUUGGGUUUAAAGGGAGCGUAGGCGGAUUGUUAAGUCAGUUGUGAAAGUUUACGGCUCAACCGUAAAAUUGCAGUUGAUACUGGCAGUCUUGAGUGCAGUAGAGGUGGGCGG
rnacentral:rRNA from 1 species